GAAUUUUAGUAAAACUUUACUUGCGAGGUUACAGAAUACAUCAUGGGUAGAUUUCAUCAACCUAGUGCUUGACAACACAUUAUUCAGAAACUUAAAGCUAGAUGUUCUGUAUGACGGUGCAAGAGAUUUUAUUUUUCAGUCGAUGCUACUACUGCACUGGGCCCCUGUCUGGUUUACGUCAUCUGUUUGCAAACCGGUUUCUUCGCCAACCAUCACUAUCAAAAUGGAGAAUUUAGGCAACCAUUUUGUUUCUGUAGCCGUAAUUUCAAAUGACUUUUUUUAUGGCAUGCCCGAUUCACAAUGGUGCCCUUUAUACCUUUUAUGAUCAAUGACGUGGAAAAUGUCGUCGUUUUUCUUGAGUUACUUGAAAGUGUUAUUUUUGAGUUAACAAUUAUAAAAUACACGUAGUAAUUCCAAAAUACACGUAGUAAUUCCAAAAUAUAGUCUACGUAGUUCUUAUUUUAUUAUUCCCGAAGCU